AAGUCGUAACAAGGUUUCCGUAGGUGAACCUGCGGAAGGAUCAUUAGCGAAGUUCGGAAUGCAUGUUCGAUGUUGAUGCUGCCCAGCAAUGGGAUGUGCUCGCUCGGAUGUGUGUCCCUUCUCUAUCCACCCCAUUGUGAACCAAGUGUGUGAGCCGAAGAGAAAUCGGACGCUCGCAUGCAAACCUUUAACAUACCCCAAUGAAGUAUCAGAAUGCACCUUGCGUUAACUCGCACAAAUAUAACUUUCAACAACGGAUCUCUUGGCUCUC
rnacentral:misc_RNA from 1 species